rnacentral:rRNA from 1 species
AAUAGAUACCCGGGUAGUCCAUGCCGUAAACGUUGGGCACUAGGUGUGGGGCUCAUUCCACGAGUUCCGUGCCGCAGCAAACGCAUUAAGUGCCCCGCCUGGGGAGUACGGCCGCAAGGCUAAAACUCAAAGGAAUUGACGGGGGCCCGCACAAGCGGCGGAGCAUGCGGAUUAAUUCGAUGCAACGCGAAGAACCUUACCAAGGCUUGACAUGCACGGGAAGCCACCAGAGAUGGUGGUCUCUUUGGACACUCGUGCACAGGUGGUGCAUGGUUGUCGUCAGCUCGUGUCGUGAGAUGUUGGGUUAAGUCCCGCAACGAGCGCAACCCUGUCCCAUGUUGCCAGCGGGUUAUGCCGGGGACUCAUGGGAGACUGCCGGGGUCAACUCGGAGAAGGUGGGAUGACGUCAAAUCAUCAUGCCCCUUAUGUCUUGGGCUUCACGCAUGCUACAAUGGCCGGUACAAAGGGCUGCGAUGCCGUAAGGUGGAGCGAAUCCCGAAAAAGCCGGUCUCAGUUCGGAUUGGGGUCG